rnacentral:rRNA from 1 species
AUUGAACGCUGGCGGCAGGCCUAACACAUGCAAGUCGAACGAGUGGCGGACGGGUGAGUAAUGUCUGGGAAACUGCCCGAUGGAGGGGGAUAACGACUGGAAACGGUAGCUAAUACCGCAUACCAUCAGAAGUGCCCAGAUGGGAUUAGCUAGGUGGGGGGGUAAUGGCUCACCAAGGCGACGAGCCCUAGCUGGUCUGAGAGGAUGACGGGCCACAGGGGACGUGAGACACGGUCCAGACUCAUACGGGAGGCAGCAGUGAGAAAUAUUGCAGAAUGGGCGCAGGCCUGAUGCAGCCAUGCCGCGUGUAUGAAUAAGGCCUUCGGGUUGUAAAGUACUUUCAGCGGGGAGGCGUUACCCGCAGAAGAAGCACCGGCUAACUCCGUGCCAGCAGCCGCGGUAAUAC